CUCAUUUUGUAUAUAUAUAAGUUAUGAUAUAGGUUACUACUUGUAGUAUUGCUUGUACAUUCUUAUAUAUUUUAUUGCAAGAUGUUGUCGGCGUGCACUUCUUCCCUAGUAGAACGUCGCGACCCGUUGAGUGUCGGUCUAUAGCCCGAGAGGUAGCCUUUAAUUUUUUCAAUUAAAGACCCUUGGUGUUUUUCUGACUGGCUGCUCGAUGGUAUUCAUAAGGUAUUAAGCCGCAUAUUAUAUGCGUUUAUAUCCGUCGCAAGCGAGGUCAAUUUUUAGUAGUACGGACCUAGUGCCGUCGCUAUAAUUGAUCAGCUGUUGGUUGUACGGUAUUCUAAAACUGGCUUAUAAUUAAUACCGGUCAGCGAUGCUACUG
rnacentral:rRNA from 1 species